UACAGAGGACUCAAGCGUUGUUCGGAUUCAUUGGGCGUAAAGGGUGCGUAGGCGGCGCGGUAAGUCGGGUGUGAAAUCUCGGAGCUUAACUCCGAAACUGCAUUCGAUACUGCCGUGCUUGAGGACUGGAGAGGAGACUGGAAUUUACGGUGUAGCGGUGAAAUGCGUAGAUAUCGUAAGGAAGACCAGUGGCGAAGGCGGGUCUCUGGACAGUUCCUGACGCUGAGGCACGAAGGUCAGGGGAGCAAACGGG
rnacentral:rRNA from 1 species